rnacentral:rRNA from 1 species
AGCAGCCGCGGUAAUUCCAGCUCCAAUAGCGUAUAUUAAAGUUGUUGCAGUUAAAAAGCUCGUAGUUGAAUUUCGGAAUCUGUCCGUCGGUCGGGCUUCACUGUCCGCACUGGUGUGAUGGGUUUCUACCUUCUGAAUAACCGGCAUGUCAUUAAUUUGGUGCGCCGGGGAAGCAGAACUAUUACCUUGAAAAAAUUAGAGUGCUUAAAGCAGGCUAUCGCCUGAAUAGAUUAGCAUGGAAUAAUAAAAUAGGACGGCAUGGUUCUAUUUUGUUGGUUUCUAGGAUCACCGUAAUGAUUAAUAGGGAUAGUUGGGGGCAUUAGUAUUCAAUUGUCAGAGGUGAAAUUCUUGGAUUUAUUGAAGACUAACUUCUGCGAAAGCAUUUGCCAAGGAUGUUUUCAUUAAUCAAGAACGAAAGUUAGGGGAUCGAAGACGAUCAGAUACCGUCGUAGUCUUAACCAUAAACUAUGCCGACUAGGGAUCGGACGAUGUUAAUUUUUAAUGACUCGUUCGGCGCCUU